rnacentral:lncRNA from 1 species
UUGAACUAUACGGUAACACAGUAAAAAUAUGUUUCUAAAUAGCGGUGAUUUUACACUUAAUAAUAACACGGUCGGAAAAUUGAGGAACUUGGUGUUGAUCUGCAAGUGAAGAAUAACAACACAUUUAACAUAUGGUUCUAAAAAGCGGUGAUUUUACAAUGAAGAACAAAACAAUAAAAAUCUCGUCCUAAAUAGCUGUGAUUCUAAAUAGCGGUGACUAUACAUCGAACAAUGACACCGUAAAAAUAUCGUUCUAAAUAGAGGUGAUUCUAGAUUGAAUAAUAGCGGUGUUUCUACAAUUGAUCAUAACCUGUGCAAUUUGUAAAAUCAUCUAUUAGUGAGUAUAUCAUAUUAUAAUUACCGUUGAAAUCAACAGUCACAUUUUGAAGUCACUAUAAAUCAACAAUUAUAAAAUGAUUUUACGCUACAUUGUAUAUAGUUCAAAAUAGAGCAACAUAUUUUCAUAAUAAGAAAAUGAAGCGAAUUCAGAAACUCCAUAUCCUUCUUGUCAAUUUCUCAUGCAGUACAACAAAAAUGUCCUAGAACUAUAAAGCCUAUGGAAGAAAGGAGGGAAGUCUCAGAGUCUACAAUAAUUUGUCAAUUCUUUUUGUAUCUAUGAAAGUCUAAUGUUAAUCUGAUAAAUUGUCCUAGAACUAUAAAGCCUAUGGAAGAAGCAGAUCUAGGCAUCAAUCUGAUAGUGAAUUGUUCUGAUUUUCAUUGUGAAUGAUCUGAUAUCAUAAUAGAAGCAGAUCUAAGCAUCAAUUGGAUACAUAAAAACUCAACUUCAUAUGGACAAAAUAAUGAAUGUUACAGACCUUGUGUCAUGGUUUGCUAUUGUUCAAUACAAUUGGAUAUAAUUGGAUAUAUGAGUAAGAGUUCUUUCUAGUCCUAGAUAGUAGCAGAAAGAAAUCAUUGAUUGUUAGUAAACUCAAGUAAUUCAGAAAAAUCCUACACAGAAAACAUAGUCAACCCAAAAAACAACAAAACAUACACAAAAUUGACAAAACAUUGUGUUAGACUAACUUUGCGGAUGAUUCUAUAUAACCUACAUAAUUUCAAUUUUAAAUACCCAAGAUUUAUAGAAAUAUAAUCAAGUAACAAUCAAAUUCACGAACGUAUAAAGUCAAUGAAGAGAAGGAAAGUAAUGUAUCAGGACCUUGCCAUUCUCCUUUCAGGUUUAACCUCCAUUAAUCACAUAAUCCAGGAAAAUAGUCAGCAAACAACCCAAACCAGGGGCUUAAAUCCUCGCAAAUGAAAAUCCAUAAAGAAAGAAACUAAGCUCAAAUUACCAAACUAAAACACGGUUUCACAAACAUAAAUAAAUGUUCACACCUGCAACAAAGUAAGUUUUGCAGAAAAUAUAGUGGCUUCAGUGUGCAGAGUCUGAACCUUGUGUUCUAGCUCCGAAAUGUAUCGCAUCUUGCUCCUAGUGGCACAACAAAAUCUUGGUCUCCGCUG